GGAUCUUGAGACAGAACCUUUGGACUUGGAGCGGAACACACGCUUGAGGCUAGCGGCGAGCUUCAUGUCGGAGAAGAAGAUAAAAGGAGGAUAUGUUGUUGUUGAGUAUCUUGUUGGUGUGAGAGGAAAGAGCGAGGAAGGAAGGUAUUAAAUGGGGAGAGAAAGAGAGAAGCCAUGGCAGCUUCCACGAAGCUUCGUGGAGAGAGUUGUUCGAUGAUUUUGAUACUUAAAUACCCUAAAACACUAUCAUAUCAUAUUCAUUCAUUCAUUCCUCUAUUUUCUUCCUUUUUAAUUUAAAGUUUCCUUAUUUCUAGAUUUUCAUUUAUUAUUACGAUGACUAACCAAUUCAAGUUUUAUUUAUUCUUGUAUAAGACCAUCUCCGAUGGUUCAAUCUAUUUUAGAGUAGAAAAUAGAGUGAUGAAUAAAAAAAAAACAAAUUACUCUAUAUUUGGAAUAAACCUAUUUUUUACUCUAUUAUAGAGUGAAAAAUAGAAUAAUAUUGGAGUAUUCUUUACUCUAAACUCUAUUUUAGAGUAAAAACUAUAAUGGAGUUGGAGAUGCUGUAACGUACACAUGCAACGUAUCUACUGGGAGAAAAACACAAACGUAUCUAUCUAUCUACUGUUUUUAAUCUAAUACUAGGGGUUAAAGAGUAAGUUAAGAAACAACCGUUGAAUGGGGGUUCUCUCUCCUCUCCUAGAGAGAGAGUUUUCUCUCGACAAUUUUUCUUCUCUUAUCAAAUUUCUAUCUUUCAGAGAGGUAAAGAUCGUUUGAGAGUGAGAGAGAUCUACUUUUUGGUUCCGGUUUCGGUUUCAUCCGACCGGACUCUGUCUCCGGCGUUCUCGCCUUUUCCUCCGGCGAAGAUCGGCCGGCUUUUGUCUCCGCGUCGCAUAUACCUUCACACGUUUAGCUUUUGGAAUUCAUAAUAUGUUUUCAAAAAAACUUAAAUACCUAUUUACUCAUUAGUCAAAGAUGUUUAUAAACAAUUAUUUCAAUUUCAAUUAUUUAAACAAAUAUGUUCACAUAAUUUUAGCUGCUAAUUCUGUUUAAUAGCUCGAACUUUUACAAACAUAAAAUAUUAUACAUAAAUAUAUAGGUAUUUUUAUAAUAUUCAAAAAGUAUAUUUCCUUAAUUUUAAUUUCAUUAUUUAAUAUAAUAUACUUUUUGUAAAUUAUAUUUAUAAUAAAUAUUAAUAUUAUUGUAUUCAUUAUUUUAAAAAAUUAUACAUACUGCAAUUUACACAUCAAAAAUGUUACCAGUCAAUAAUUUUAAUAAUAUAAUAAUUCAUAUUUUUACAGCGAACUCACUACAUAAAUCUACAGUAUCUACCACAUAGUUUCUACUCCGAGUUACAUCAGAUCGUAACUUUUAUUGUAACUCAACUCUAAUAUAACAUGUCACCAAUCCGAGCCAGAGUCCUUAUCUUGUUAUUCCAGUUUUUAUAUCAUCCUUAUAAAAAUAAAAUGAACGAAUUUUGGUGAUGAUUAAGUUUGGUUCUAUCGAAAAAAAUUAUUUCUCUUAAAGUUUGCCAACUUUAAGAACCUUCUGUUCAUCUUUAUACAGUUAUAUGAGGAUUUUUUUGGGUGUACAUAAUGACGAUUUUAGGAGGACUGGGACUAAGGAACAAGAACUCUACAAAUCAUCCUUAUGAUCUGAAUCAAAUUAUUAUUUUUGGUCUAACUGAAUUAAAUUAUUGAACUAGCUAGACGAAUGAAAUCAGUGAAAAAAUAUUGAAUGAGGCUAGCGGCGAGCUUCAUGUCGGAGAAGAAGAUAAAAGGAGGAUAUGUUGUUGUUGAGUAUCUUGUUGGUGUGAGAGGAAAGAGCGAGGAAGGAAGGUAUUAAAUGGGGAGAGAAAGAGAGAAGCCAUGGCAGCUUCCACGAAGCUUCGUGGAGAGAGUUGUUCGAUGAUUUUGAUACUUAAAUACCCUAAAACACUAUCAUAUCAUAUUCAUUCAUUCAUUCCUCUAUUUUCUUCCUUUUUAAUUUAAAGUUUCCUUAUUUCUAGAUUUUCAUUUAUUAUUACGAUGA
rnacentral:lncRNA from 1 species